rnacentral:lncRNA from 1 species
UAUGUGAUUGGGAGAAUGCGAUCUAAAGAAGUUAGAUUCAUGAGACCAUUCUUUCGUAGACACGUCCUAAACGUUCCUGAUCAUAGGAUUGCCAAUUGGGCAUUGACAGUCCGUUAAGAUCAGUACGUGCUGUGUCUUCUCUCAUGGAGAGUGACUAGUCUCGAGUCAUUGGUGUGUGUGACAACAAGACAAGCAUGUAGGUGCUCAAUAAUGAAUGAGUCCACUGAACACGAUCAACGAGGAGUUCUCAUAAUCAUGUCACAUGAGAACUCAUGGUUGGGAUAAUGCAAAGUAGUCAUUUGACCUGAGACAUCAUAGUUGUCUUGUGGUUAAGUCCUUGAUCUUUGAUUAUGUCAAAGUCACUCCAUCAGGAGCGUGUCCACGGCAUCGUCGGGGUUAAGCCACUUA